rnacentral:rRNA from 1 species
UACGUAGGGGGCAAGCGUUGUCCGGAAUCAUUGGGCGUAAAGAGCGUGUAGGCGGCCCGAUAAGUCCGCUGUGAAAGUCCAGGGCUCAACCCUGGGAUGCCGGUGGAUGCUGUCGGGCUAGAGUCCGGAAGAGGAGAAUGGAAUUCCCGGUGUAGCGGUGAAAUGCGCAGAUAUCGGGAAGAACACCCGUGGCGAAGGCGGUUCUCUGGGACGGUACUGACGCUGAGACGCGAAAGCGUGGGGAGCGAACAGG